GAUGUAGAACGCAGCGAAAUGCGAUAAGUAAUGUGAAUUGCAGAAUUCAGUGAAUCAUCGAAUCUUUGAACGCACAUUGCGCCCGCCAGUAUUCUGGCGGGCAUGCCUGUUCGAGCGUCAUUUCAACCCUCAAGACCCCUUCGGGGGACUUGGUGUUGGGGACCGGCACAGGGGCCUGCCUGCUUGUCUUGCAGCGCCCUCGCCGCCCCCGAAAUGAAUUGGCGGCCUCGUCGCGGCCUCCCCUGCGUAGUAGCACAAACCUCGCAACGGGAACGUGACGGCGGCCACUGCCGUAAAACAACCCAAUUUUAUUAGAGUUGACCUCGAAUCAGGUAGGAAUACCCGCUGAACUUAAGCAUAUCAAUAAGCGGAGGA
rnacentral:misc_RNA from 1 species